GCGGAGGUAGCUCAGCGGUUAGAGCGCGAGCGUACUGACCGCAAAGGUCCGUGGUUCGAACCCUGCCUCUGCC
rnacentral:tRNA from 1 species